UGUGUCAGGUAGCAGGGUGGAUCUUGGCCUCCAUGUCCGUCAUCCCUGUACCUGUCAUGGCGGCUGUCACCUUGCUCAAGGCCAAAGGAUCAUUCAUGGAUAGACUGGCAGCGAGUUGCAGGCCUAACGACUCAUGGGGACCGUCACU